GAUGAACGCUAGCUACAGGCUUAACACAUGCAAGUCGAGGGGUAACGAGAGGAAAGCUUGCUUUCCUUGUCGACGACCGGCGCACGGGUGAGUAACGCGUAUCCAACCUGCCCCCAACUAGGGAAUAACCUUGCGAAAGUAAGACUAAUACCCUAUAAUUUCCUCAGAUGUCAUCUGACGAGGAAUAAAGAUUUAUCGGGUGUGGAUGGGGAUGCGACUGAUUAGCGUGUUGGCGGGGUAAAGGCCCACCAAGGAAACGAACAGUAGGGGUUCUGAGAGGAAGGUCCCCCACAUUGGAACUGAGACACGGUCCAAACUCCUACGGGAGGCAGCAGUGAGGAAUAUUGGUCAAUGGGCGGAAGCCUGAACCAGCCAAGUAGCGUGCAGGAUGACGGCCCUAUGGGUUGUAAACUGCUUUUAUACAGGAAUAAAGUUAGCCACGUGUGGUUAUUUGUUGGUACUGUAUGAAUAAGGACCGGCUAAUUCCGUGCCAGCAGCCGCAGUAA
rnacentral:rRNA from 1 species